UGCGUAGGCGGCCGUACAAGUCGGGUGUGAAAUCCCUCGGCUCAACCGAGGAAUUGCGCCCGAAACUGUGCGGCUAGAGGGAGACAGAGGUGAGCGGAACUGGCGGUGGAGCGGUGAAAUGCGUUGAUAUCGCCAGGAACACCAGUGGCGAAGGCGGCUCACUGGGUCUCUUCUGACGCUGAGGCACGAAAGCUAGGGGAGCGAACAGGAUUAGAUACCCUGGUAGUCC
rnacentral:rRNA from 1 species